rnacentral:rRNA from 1 species
AGAGUUUGAUCAUGGCUCAGGACGAACGCUGGCGGCGUGCCUAACACAUGCAAGUCGAACGGGGGAUCUUGAUUAAGCUUGCUUAAGAGAGAUUCCUAGUGGCGGAUGGGUGAGUAACGCGUGGAUAACCUACCCAUAAGACCGGGACAACCCCUGGAAACGGGGGCUAAUACCGGAUGGACUUAUCCUUUCGCAUGGGGGGAUAAGGAAAGGUGGCCUCUGGAACAAGCUACCGCUUAUGGAUGGGUCCGCGUCUGAUUAGCUAGUUGGUAGGGUAACGGCCUACCAAGGCGACGAUCAGUAGCCGGCCUGAGAGGGUGGUCGGCCACACUGGGACUGAGACACGGCCCAGACUCCUACGGGAGGCAGCAGUGGGGAAUUUUCCGCAAUGGACGAAAGUCUGACGGAGCGACGCCGCGUGAGCGAAGAAGGCCUUCGGGUUGUAAAGCUCUGUCAUUAGGGACGAAGUCUCGGGGUGUGAAUAAUGCCCUGAGGUGACGGUACCUAAAGAGGAAGCCCCGGCUAACUACGUGCCAGCAGCCGCGGUAAAACGUAGGAGGCGAGCGUUGUCCGGAAUUAUUGGGCGUAAAGGGCGCGUAGGCGGGUACUUAAGUCUGAUGUGAAAUCCCGGGGCUCAACCCCGGGGUGGCAUUGGAAACUGGGUAUCUUGAGUGCAGGAGAGGGGAGCGGAAUUCCACGUGUAGCGGUGAAAUGCGUAGAGAUGUGGAGGAACACCAGUGGCGAAGGCGGCUCUCUGGCCUGUAACUGACGCUGAGGCGCGAAAGCGUGGGGAGCAAACAGGAUUAGAUACCCUGGUAGUCCACGCCGUAAACGAUGAGUGCUAGGUGUAGGUGGGGGAUAACCCAUCUGUGCCGUAGUUAACACAAUAAGCACUCCGCCUGGGGAGUACGGCCGCAAGGCUGAAACUCAAAUGAAUUGACGG